rnacentral:rRNA from 1 species
GACGAACGCUGGCGGCGUGCCUAAUACAUGCAAGUCGAACGCAGUGGGGACGGGUGAGUAACACGUGGGUAACCUCCCAUCAGAGGGGAUAACACUUGGAAACAGGUGCUAAACCGAUACUGAUGGAUGGACCCGCGGUGCAUUAGCUAGUGGGUGAGGUAACGGCGAACCAAGGCUACGAUGCAUAGCCGACCUGAGAGGGUGACCGGCCACACUGGAACUGAGACACGGCCCAGACUCCUACGGGAGGCAGCAGUAGGGAAUCUUCGGCAAUGGACGAAAGUCUGACCGAGCGAUGCCGCGUGAGUGAAGAAGGUUUUCGGAUCGUAAAACUCUGUUGUUAGGGAAGCGGUAUCUACCCAGAAAGCCACGGCUAACUACGUGCCAGCAGCCGCGGUAAUUC